rnacentral:rRNA from 1 species
UACGAAGGGGACUAGCGUUGUUCGGAAUCACUGGGCGUAGAGCGCACGUAGGCGGAUUCAUAAGUUAGGGGUGAAAUCCCGGGGCUCAACCUCGGAACUGCCUUUGAUACUGCGGGUCUCGAGUCCGGGAGAGGUGAGUGGAACUCCGAGUGUAGAGGUGAAAUUCGUAGAUAUUCGGAAGAACACCAGUGGCGAAAGCGGCUCACUGGCCCGGUACUGACGCUGAAAUACGAAAGCGUGGGGAGCAAACAGG